AAAAUUUUUUUAUCUAAAAAAUGAGAAGGAAAUAAAGAAAAAUAAAGAAGAAGCAUAGAAUGAAAUGAACCACACUUUUAUUGUUGUUAAAUUACUUACAAAGAAAAAAUGUCGUGCGCGUUAUAUAUUGCAAUCGUUUGUGGACUACUGGAAUCCUUUUGAAUUAAUUCAAUUGUAGGCAUAACUUUUUUAAUGGUUUAUAUAAAUACGUAAAAGUGUUUAAAUGAAAGAUUGAUGAUGCUGCUUUUCAUGCACCGCGUCGAAACGCCUGACCAUUUAACAAUCACAAGUCAACAGUAUGAUUUCAAGAAGCACUUUAACAAUUUACCAAAAUACUUAUUUUAAAAUUGAAUAUAAUAUUACUGAUCUGGAACGUUGCAGGACACUAGGUGGUUGAUUUGUUUACAGUUCGUGAACCACCUUUAUAUAAUUAUAAAAUUUAUCCUUUGCCCCAAAA